rnacentral:lncRNA from 1 species
CAACAAAGAAUCAUUUUUCAGACAAUUGAAAUAAUCAAUUACCCAACAGAUUACAAUACUUAGUAAACCUAAACUAUAAGAUUACCCACAAGAGAAAUUAUUGUGAAUACACCUUGCAAGAGUUUGAAUCAACAAGUUGGAAAUACAUGCUUCUCACAAUUCUUAAAUAUUCAAAGAUAAGCUAAACUAGAAAUGACCUCAUCAUAUAUUAUUUAUAAUAGGUCCAAAUAAGGCAAGAAAGAUAUAAGUACCCCUAAUGGGUCUAACUACUAUGCCCACAUGGGAAAUCUUAUAACCCAAGUCUGCAAUCAUUGGAAAACAUGGCCCAUGUCCACAUACUUGCAUCCAAGUCAUCAAGGGAGCACACAUGUGCGCCUACAUCUACGUAGGCAUGGCCUUCCACGUGGGCAUAGGGGCAUAUGCUACGACUUCAUCCACGUAGCCUACGUGGUCUCCAUGCUCCUCCAAGACCUUCACCCUCAACACAUUGUAUGCCUUCAAGAGCUUUCCACAAUUGUCUUCCAAUGCUUCCAAGAUAUCCUAAUUCUUGGUGAAGAGGUGCAAAUCCCUUAGUUCCUUAGAUUGAGAUAUUGUGAAUGACCUAAAUGUCAUUGGUGUUCCUUGAGGUGUAUCAUUCUCCCCUUCUUGAUAAGCAUUUUCCUCAAAUGCAGAUCAUCAUCAUUACCUACAACACAAGAAAGCAAGUCACUAAUAUUGAAAAAAUUAUGAACUUGAUACUUGAUAACUAGGGAUUCUAGCCUAUUUUAUGCUCCUUUUGCUUAGGUUUGGAUUAAAAGUGUGUAUAAGUAUUCCCGUAAGCUAACUUAUUGUGCUUGUUUGCAGUGUUUGGUAAAAAAAGAGACAAGAAAGUCAAAACCAGCUCAUAAAGGAGUAAAACCUUCAGAAGUUCAAAGGUGAGUCAAAAAGGCGCUGACAACAGAGAAACAGACGCGGAUGCGGAGGGUCCACCGCUGAAGCGGUCUUGAUUAUGCUCCCAGCGGUGGCAAGGUUCAGAGAGUUAUAUUUUGGGCUUGGCAGUCACCGCUGUAACACCUCCUUUUUCCUACCCCGGAAGGGUAUAAGGGAGUUUUUUCCAACUUAAAGUGACAAUCGAAACAGGAUUGUUUAUUUAUUUUUCAGAGUCGCCACUUGGGAUAAUUUAUGGUGUCCCAAGUCACCGGUUUAAAUCCCGAAUCGAGGAAAAAUUGACUCAAUUUUACAGUCCGCGAACACAGAAAUCCGGGUAAGAAAUUUUGUUAAUCCGGGAGAAGGUGUUAGGCAUGCCCGAGUUCCGUGGUUUUAGCACGGUUGCUCAACUAUUAUUAUUGGCAUAAUUAUCUGAUGUAAUUAUACAUUUAAAACCUAUGUGCAUUUUUUAACUUUCUAACCGCUUUUAGUAUUUCAGGAAAAUUAAAAGGUUAUUUAAAAUAAAUCGUAAGCCAUGCUACAUGAAAUGCACUCGCGGUUCACGACACGUUCUAUUUAACCUUGUUGGAAAUUAGUAUCGGGUCACAUGAAAUGCACACCCGAAUUGAGAUUACGUAUCACAACUAUGUCACGGGAACCAUACCCGUAGCUAUGAUUAUUUAUUAUUAAUAAUGUCCAAAGUAUAAGCUAAAUUAUUGAGUCUUCAUCAGUAGGCUAUUAUAGCAAUUAAGUAAAAAGAAAAAGGUCACUGCUCAUUAUUCAAAUGACAGUAACAACUCAUUUAUAAGAUUCAACGACAUCUUUUAAUGAUUUAAUCAUAUUUAACUAUAUGAAAGGCUAAUUAUAAAGGGGAAAACAAAACAAUCAACAAAACAAAGAAAGAAUGAAGACAACAGUAAAUGACAAAGAAACUAACGCAACAAGAAUCAACAAACAAACUUUCAUCAGUUUUCUUCCAUCAUCAAAAAUUAUCAAAAUUUCAUAAGCACAAGGUAACGCUAGAACUAAAAAUCCGUGAAAAUCGAUAAAAAUCAGUUUCAAAAUAUAACCAAACAAAAUUAACAAGGCAACAUAACAACAAAUACAAUGAUUUCAAGCUAUUAAAUAAAGCGGUAAAAACAAUAGAGACGAACCUUAAGGAUUGGAUCUAUAUAUAAUUACUUGAAAAAAAUUCCAACCGCGUACAAAUAUUGAAAAUGAAUCGGCAAUCAAACUUGAACAGUAGCCACAACAACACCGGAAGACUCGAACAGAACCGGUGACUCGAUACCUCAACGACCAUACAAAAAUGACCUCCGUUAAACCUCAUUGCUGGGCCAUUUGGAGUUGUUGUUUAGUGCAAAGAACUCCUAUUUUUACUAGUUUUCAGGGGUAUAUGUGCGUGAGAGGCUCUUGGAAAUUGGGAAUUGGGUAAGGUCGAUUUCUGUUUUUGAAGUUGGGGUUUACGACCAAUUUUUUUCCCUUUUUUAUCCAGAGGUUGGGCGUUCUCUGCUUAGUGGCUAAUGAUGGAGUUCUUCUGCUAAAGAAGAAUGACCUGGUAGGGGGGUCUCCUAUGUCUCUGCGGUGGAUCAGCCUUUUCCCUUAGGUCUUAGAGUCUAGUCUAGGUCUAAUGUGUAUUUUUGUGUAUUCUCUUUUUGCUGAUU